rnacentral:rRNA from 1 species
GUGAGGAAUAUUGCGCAAUGGAGGCAACUCUGACGCAGCCAUGCCGCGUGCAGGAAGAAGGCGCUACGCGUUGUAAACUGCUUUUAACCGGGAAGAAACCCCAGGACGUGUCCUGGGUUGACGGUACCGGAGGAAUAAGCACCGGCUAACUUCGUGCCAGCAGCCGCGGUAAUACGAAGGGUGCAAGCGUUAUCCGGAUUCAUUGGGUUUAAAGGGUGCGUAGGCGGAGCGUUAAGUCAGUGGUGAAAUCCUGCAGCUUAACUGUAGACUUGCCAUUGGUACUGGCGCUCUUGAGUGCGCUUGAAGUGGGCGGAAUGUGCCGUGUAGCGGUGAAAUGCUUAGAUAUGGCACAGAACACCAAUUGCGAAGGCAGCUCACUAAGGCGAUACUGACGCUGAGGCACGAAAGCGUGGGGAUCGAACAGGAUUAGAAACCCCUGUAGUCC